CUACGUGCCUUUUGCAUAAUGAGCCAACGAGUUAUUCCUAAAUUGCAAGGUUAAGUUUUGAAAGAACGGAGCCGCAGCGAAAGCGAGUCUGAAUAGGGCGUUUAGUUGUAUGGAUUAGACCCGAAACCGUGUGAGCUACCUAUGGCCAGGCUGAAGCGAAAGUAACAUUUCGUGGAGGGCCGAACCCUUUUACGUUGCAAAGUGAUGGGAUGAGCUGUGGGUAGAGGUGAAAUGCUAAACGAACACGGAGAUAGCUGGUUCUCCCCGAAAUGUAUUUAGGUACAGCCUCAAGAAUUAACUUGUGGAGGUAGAGCACUGGAUGAGCUAGGGGGCGUAAGCUUACCAAACUUAACCAAACUCCGAAUGCCACAAGGAUUAUCUUGGGAGUGAGACAGUGAAGGAUAAGCUCCAUUGUCGAAAGGGAAACAGCCCAGAUCGCAAUCUAAGGUCCCUAAGUAUUAGCUAAGUGGGAAAGGUGGUGGAUGUGUUCAGACAGCUAGUAGGUUGGCUUAGAAGCAGCCAUCCUUUAAAGAGUGCGUAACAGCUCACUAGUCGAAUAAAUCUGCGCCGAAAAUAGUCGGGGCUAAAGCUAAUCACCGAAGAUGCGGGAUUAUAUCUAAUAUGAUCGGUAGGGGAGCGUUCCUAGAGCACAGAAGUCAGAUCGUGAGGUCUGGUGGAGUUCUGGGAAGUGAGAAUGUCGGCAUGAGUAGCGACAAUCAUUGUGAGAAUCAAUGACACCGGAAGUCCGAGGUUUCCUACGCAACGUUGAUCGGCGUAGGGUUAGUCGGUCCUAAGGAGUAGCCGAAAGGUGAAUUCGAUGGACAGCUGGUCAAAAUUCCAGCACCACAGUUAGUUUGUUAUGCAAGGGGAUGACGCAGGAAGGAAAGUUUUGCUUGCCUAUUGGACAUGGUGAGUGGGCCUCUGUAAUUUAUGCUUAGUGGUUAAAAUUACUAGGUUUCUGAGGGAGGUUCGAACCUUAAGGCUUCGGCCUUAGGGAACUAAACUGUACCUAUGCUGCCUAGAAAAGUCUCAAUGCUAGAACUUUCAGUGACCGUACCUAAAACCGACACAGGUGGACAGGGGUAAAAGCCCCAAGGUGAACGAGAGAACCACCCUUAAGGAACUCGGCAAAUUAACCCCGUAACUUCGGGAGAAGGGGAGCCUAUGACGUAUAAAGUCUUGCACUUGAAAGCGUUGUUGGCCGCAGAGAAUUGGCUCGAGCGACUGUUUAUCAAAAACAUAGGUCCGUGCUAAAGCGAAAGCUGAUGUAUACGGGCUGACGCCUGCCCAGUGCCGGUAGGUUAAGGGAAUUGGUGAGAGCCAUGCACUGAAGCCCCGGUGAACGGCGGCCGUAACUAUAACGGUCCUAAGGUAGCGAAAUCCCUUGUCGGGUAAGUUCCGACCUGCACGAAAGGCGUAACGACUUGAGCACUGUCUCGAGGGUGGACUCGGUGAAAUUGCAUGACCCGUAAAGAUGCGGGUUACACGUAGCAGGACAAAAAGACCCCGUGGAGCUUUACUGCAGCUUGGCAUUGAAUCGUGAUUAACUUUGUGUAGGAUAGGCGGGAGACUUUGAAGCUCAAACGCUAGUUUGAGUGGAGUCGCCCUUGAAAUACCGCCCUUUUUUGAUUUUGCUUCUAACCUAUUUUGGGACAGUGUCUGGUGGGCAGUUUGACUGGGGCGGUCGCCUCCUAAAAAGUAACGGAGGCGCCCAAAGGUCACCUCAGGCUGGAUGGAAAUCAGUCAAAGAGUGUAUUGGCAUAAGGUGGCUUGACUGUGAGACCUACAAGUCGAGCAGGCACGAAAGUGGGGCAAAGUGAUCCCACGGUACCGAGUGGAAGGGCCGUGGCUUAACGGAUAAAAGCUACCCCGGGGAUAACAGGCUUAUCUCCCCCAAGAGUUCAUAUCGACGGGGAGGUUUGGCACCUCGAUGUCGGCUCGUCCUAUCCUGGGGCUGAAGAAGGUCCCAAGGGUCCGGCUGUUCGCCGGUUAAAAGGGCACGCGAGCUGGGUUCAGAACGUCGUGAGACAGUUCGGUCUCUAUCCGCUAUGUGCGUAAGAAAUUUGAGAGAGGCUGCUCCUAGUACGAGAGGACCGGAGUGGGCAGACCUCUGGUGUGCCGGUUGUGACGCCAGUUGCAUCGCCGGGUAGCUAUGUUUGUUGUGGAUAAGCGCUGAAAGCAUCUAAGUGCGAAGCCCGUCUUAAGAUUAGAUUUCU
rnacentral:rRNA from 1 species